rnacentral:lncRNA from 1 species
UGAUAAUAACAACAAGAAUGAUAAUCAGAAACAUUUCAUUUUGUAGAUUCUAAAGUUCGCUGAGCAUUUUCAUGGGCACAACCUCAUCUGAUCAUUAUGGCAACACUGUGGGGCCUUGAAAUCAUGGCAGCAGCAAGACCCAACUGGGGCAGCAUCAUGUCUGGGUUUGAAUCCCGGUUCAGCCACUUUCCAGCUGUGUGAUGUGGGGCAAGUCAGGUGGAGAAACAGAAGCCUGGAGAUGCUGAGUAACUUGCCCAUAGUCUCACAGCUGACAAGUGGCCAAGAAGGAUUCAAACACAUGUGUGCUGGCUCCAGUGGCUCCAGAAGUCUGGUGAGGGGCUACCUGAAGCACAUUGCCCCCUAGAGUUAAGGACAGCUGGAUCUGGGCUCCGGAAGCCUGCAGUUCAUUUCUGGCUGCACAACCAAUUAGCUGUGUGACCUGAAGCGCAUCUCUCACUCCCUCUCUGAAUCCCCAUUUUCUCCCUGGUUGAAUGAAAGGAUUCAACUGGAUGGUCCCUAGCUUGGUUGGUUGCAGCUCUGACAUUUCAAGAGGCUUCAUCAGGCUAAAAUAAGCACAAGAGCCACGCUGCGGUUGGGAAAGGGCAGCCUGGGACGUGCGUGCGUGGAAGCUGGGAGGCUCUCCAUGGUGAGGAGGUGUAGAGGGCUAAUUGCUAGUGCAUGAGCUCAGCUGGAGGCCACUUUCUCCACUCUGUGCCCACAGCUGGCUGUGAGUCACUGACAGGUCACCAGCCACAGUGGGGCUGCUGGAGACAGGGCAGACCCUGAACAUGGAGAGAAGACAAGUCUGACCCGGUGCUGGCCUUAGGGGGCCCAGGGGACUUGCAUGCUCUUCCUAGUCCCUGCCUAGUGCUACUGCACCCUACUAGGAAGGCACCCCAUCUCCAUCUCCCUGAGCACAGCACCCCUUUUCAUGGCAGCUCUGCCAGCCCUGGCACUCUGCCACUCAGCUCACAUACACUGAGUAGCCAUGCUGUGCCAGCACUGAGAGACCGAGGCAGGUAAGAGAUGAUCCCUGCUCUUAGGAAGCUUGCAGGCAAGGGGUCAGGGCCUGGCCAUGUGUCUCAGUCUUCUGAACCUGCCAGUGGGGGCUUGGAACUAGGGCACCUGCACAUGUCCCAGAGCUGGGGCUGUUGAAGCACCUACCCCUGCCCUCUGCAGGAUGGCCAGGUGCCAACCCCACUCCUAACCCUGAGGAGGA